rnacentral:lncRNA from 1 species
GGUUCAUGAGAGAGGGGUAAAAACAAGUCUCAACUUCCAUUAGGCACAGUACUGCAUCUUUAUAUGAAGAGGAGCAGAAUAGUGUUGAGCUGAUUAGAAAAAAGUAACUGAAAGUGUAUUCAUGAGCACAGUAUUAAUGGAUCACUUACUCAAAAAAUAGCAAAGAUGAGUGCAUUGUACAAAAGGAUGCAGAACUGGCUUCUUCCUGAGAUAUCUUGUUGCCUGAUCCUGGUUUCUGUUAGCCGAGAUUGUGCUGCCCUGCAGUCCCUUUACAGAGAGCUGGCUAAUGCUGUGACACCCAAGGAAGGCUGCGAGCUCAGUGCCUUCCUUCCCCGGCCUCCUCACUGCAGGGAGAGGAGGAGAGAUGCACUAUCAGCACCCCUGAGGGGCUUCCCCUUGUGCAACAACCACUGGCCAGCAAGGCGUGAGCAGUAUGCUCUGAUCAACAGCAUGAACCACAACUAGUGCCCAGCAAUUGGCGAGUGGCAGAUGCCUGAAUACCAUGUUUUUCAUCUCACUUCAAUAUCCUUGACUCAUGCAUCCUGUCUGCGCUAAUGUUAGUUUUCUGAUUGCAGUGUGUCUGCAGCUUCGGAGCCUCAGCAAGUGCCUGAGCCAUCCCGGAAAGAUCACUUUUCAUCUCUAGUAGAUCUAGUUCUGUCUUGCAGCUUCACUGUGCUUUUAGUGACUCUGAGAGUUAGCUUGUUAUGCUCAUUUACAUGUGGACUUUCCCUGGAUUUACACUGAUAUAGCAGUGCACUGUUUUUCCUGUAAUUUUAAAAUAAUUCCAAACCAUCCCAUCAAUACGAUAUUCAAUUUUGACUUUAUUUGACAUCUAAGAAGAAAACGAGCUACUCCCACCAACAGUUACGCCCACCAUACUAUCCUUGUUCCACUAUCAUGUUCUCUCUGUUGUAUGAAUGCCUCAAAACAGGAAGACCUGAACUGGAAGGGACCUGUUGCUUCUUUGGGAGAUGCUUGUGUGUAUGUUUCCCCAAUACUCUGUAAUUCUCCUCCCCAAACUGCUGUCACGUUGUACAGAUUAUAACAGUGAUUUCAGAGUGCUUAAAACCAUUUAUAUUUCUACCAGUAUGAAGAGGAGGAAUGAAGCGUGAUGAGAGUUACUCAGGGAUGCUGAGCUUUGAAUGUCAGUUAUAAAAGGAUGCCUGUUAGAACAGAAGGAAGAAAGAAAAAAUUAGAUUUAUUUUUAGCUCUCAUUCAGGCCUACCAGUCAGAAGCACAAAGAAAAGAGCAGAGUUGCCAGGUAGCAAGUUUUCAUGAGUAAGUACCCUACCUGAGAUUAAAGUACAAAGAGAAUUCCAUUUUUUGUUGCAUGCUCAUUAAUAGCAUUAACUAGACAUGCAGAAUAGUCUUUUUUUCUCCUUUUAAGCCAUACAGUUAAUACAAAACUCAAAUUAGGAUCACUAAUUUGUGAUCAAUAACUAAAAAUAAAGAAUUGGACAAAUGCUUAUUAAACUUCA